AAAUUUUACGGGAAAAAUGUUUUCGAAAAUUUUAUUUGGCGGGAAAAAUUUGGCGGGAAAAAUGUUUUUGAAAAAAAAAUUUGGUGGGAAAUUUCUUUUUCGAAAAUUUUUGACGCGAAAAUUUUGGCGGGAAAUUUUAUUUUGGAAUAUUUUAGGCGAAAAUAUUAAUAUUUCAUUUUGUUAACCUAAAUCAAUUUACAAAUAGGGGUAAAAUGGUUAUUAAAAAUUUUAAUAGAGUAUAAUUGAAAAUGGUAAAUAGAAAAGGGUAGAAUUGAAAAGGGGUACUGUGAAAAGGGUAUUAGAAAGAAUUUUUCUUUAAAACCUUUUAAAAACUCUUGUAAAUCUUUUUAAAACCUUUUGUAAAGGUUAACAAGAGCUUUAAAAUGAUUCAAAAAUUAUUAAAGGUUUACAAGGAUUUUUAAAAUAUUUUUAAAUGGUUUAUAAGGGUUUUAAAGGAUUUACAAGGGUUUUUAAAAGAUUUUUAAAAGAUUUACAAGGGUUUUAAAACCCAUUAAAAACUCUUUUAAAUCUUUUUAAAACCUUUUGUAAGCGGUUCACAAAAGUUUUAAAAUGGUUCAAAAUUUAUUAAAGGGUUUAUAAAAUAUUUUUAAAUGAUUUACAAGGGUUUAAAAAGAUUUACAAGGUUUUUUAAAAUCCUUGUAAAUUCUUUUAAAACUCUUUAAAAACUUUUGUAAAUCUUUUAAAAUCAUUGUAAGAAGUUUUAAAAUAAUUUACAAAGGUUUUAAAACGGGUUUUAAAGUAUUUAUAUAUGUAUUUAAAGACUUAUAAAGAUUUUAAGAGGUUUUUAAAUGAUUUAUAAGGGUUUUUAACAACUUUACAAGGUUUUUUAAAGAGUUCUUAAAAUAUUUACAAUGAUUUUAAAUGCAUUUUUUUUAGCCGGAAAAAUUUGUUACAUAGAAAACUAUUAAAGAGUUCUCAUUAGAUGAGGGUCAUUUGGUCAUUUUACUUAAGAGAAGGGGUAUUUUUAAAAAUAGAUAAAAGAAAAAUGUAUUAUUGCAAAAGGGUAGUACAAAAAUGGUACUUUUGCAUAUCCCCCAAAAAUAUAAAGAUGAUCAAUCAAGAGUCAUUAAAUCCGUUUUUCUAUUACCACUUUCGUAACCAUCAACAACCACCAUCGCCACUUGCAUAACAAUCACACGUUACUCCUAUAUUUUUUAGUAUGACAUGCUAUUUUAUUAAAUGACAUUGCUUUUCCCCAUGAUUCUCGUUGGAUAUUUCUCUUAAGUUGUUAAUAUUCCAAUAUUGACUUUUUUUUUUUGGAUUUCGUGUAAUUAGUACUUAUUUUACUCUUUUUUAUAUAAAUUACAAUACGUUGUUGUAUGUUUAUCUUUUGUUUGAGAUUAAUUUAUUUUUUACCCAUGGCUAUUUGGCUAUUUUCAUACUUAUUUUAAGUCAACGGUGGAGUAUUUAUGAAAAAGUUAGUUUUCUUGAUGAGAAAAUAUAGAUAAUUUUUUAUAUAUAUAGAUGUGAGUAUUUACAAAAAAAAAUCUUAUAGGAUUAGUUAAAUAAUUGUAUAAUUUCCUUGUCCUUAUUCUAUUUAUCAAUUUAUUUCUGGUUUAGUUAGUAACUUCCAAUUAAAAUGUUUAAAAUAUUUUUUUAAUUUCUAUAUUUAUAAAAAACAGACAUAUAAUUUUAUU
rnacentral:sRNA from 1 species